UACAGAUCUUAAACCCUAGAAACUUUGAAACACUCUAAAAUUCUACCGCAACUCUUCAAGUUUGAGUUUUCCCUUAUCGUUUGGAAGCUUGGUCCUUGGUUAAAACUAAAGAUGCUAGACUUUUUCGUUAUUGGAUAGAGGGAGAAUAGAAGAAAGAAGAGGUAGUAAUCAGAUUCUACUAUAUUCGCUCGUUAAGGAAUACCAAUACCUUCCACUAUUACAUGGUUGGAUCGUACUACAUUUGUUAGAUUUGCUGGUCACGGUGUGAAGACUUGAGUUUACAAUCAAGAUGCAAGUUUUGAAAGCUUCAUACAAUUCCGCAAAUUGGUGAUAAUUUUGUUAAGAUAGUUAGGCAAAUAUUUGUUUUUUGCUCAAGGAUUGUAUGAACAGUACUGUGAAGUAUGUAUCAUGGCUAUACCUUGUUACUUGUGAGAUGUUAAUAUAUCUUGUAAUUAAUUAUAAAUUUAAAUUAUAUAUAUGAAACCAAGGUAUAACUAUGAGUUCUG